rnacentral:rRNA from 1 species
UACGAAGGGGGCUAGCGUUGCUCGGAAUUACUGGGCGUAAAGGGCUCGUAGGCGGCCAACUAAGUCAGACGUGAAAUCCCUCGGCUUAACCGGGGAACUGCGUCUGAUACUGGAUGGCUAGAGUUUGGGAGAGGGAUGCGGAACUCCAGGUGUAGGCGGUGAAAUGCGUAGAUAUCUGGAGGAACACCGGUGGCGAAGGCGGCAUCCUGGACCAACACUGACGCUGAGGAGCGAAAGCCAGGGGAGCAAACGGG